UACGUAGGGUGCGAGCGUUAAUCGGAAUUACUGGGCGUAAAGCGUGCGCAGGCUGUUCUGUAAGUCAGAUGUGAAAUCCCCGAGCUCAACUUGGGAACUGCGUUUGAAACUACAGAACUAGAAUAUGUCAGAGGGGGGUAGAAUUCCACGUGAUAGCAGUGAAAUGCGUGGAGAUGUGGAGGAAUACCAAUGGCGAAGGCAGCCCCCUGGGAUAAUAUUGACGCUCCAUGCACGAAAGGCGUGGGGAGCAAACAAGG
rnacentral:rRNA from 1 species